rnacentral:rRNA from 1 species
AGUGAACGCUGGCGGUAGGCCUAACACAUGCAAGUCGAACGGCAGCACAGUAAGAGCUUGCUCUUACGGGUGGCGAGUGGCGGACGGGUGAGGAAUACAUCGGAAUCUACUUUUUCGUGGGGGAUAACGUAGGGAAACUUACGCUAAUACCGCAUACGACCUACGGGUGAAAGCAGGGGAUCUUCGGACCUUGCGCGAUUGAAUGAGCCGAUGUCGGAUUAGCUAGUUGGCGGGGUAAAGGCCCACCAAGGCGACGAUCCGUAGCUGGUCUGAGAGGAUGAUAAGCCACACUGGAACUGAGACACGGUCCAGACUCCUACGGGAGGCAGCAGUGGGGAAUAUUGGACAAUGGGCGAAAGCCUGAUCCAGCCAUACUGCGUGGGUGAAGAAGGCCUUCGGGUUGUAAAGCCCUUUUGUUGGGAAAGAAAAGCAGCAGGUUAAUACCCCGCUGUUCUGACGGUACCCAAAGAAUAAGCACCGGCUAACUUCGUG